rnacentral:rRNA from 1 species
CCUACGGGAGGCAGCAGUGAGGAAUAUUGGUCAAUGGACGAGAGUCUGAACCAGCCAAGUAGCGUGAAGGAUGACUGCCCUAUGGGUUGUAAACUUCUUUUAUAAAGGAAUAAAACGAGGCACGUGUGCCUUUUUGCAUGUACUUUAUGAAUAAGGAUCGGCUAACUCCGUGCCAGCAGCCGCGGUAAUACGGAGGAUCCGAGCGUUAUCCGGAUUUAUUGGGUUUAAAGGGAGCGUAGAUGGGUUGUUAAGUCAGUUGUGAAAGUUUGCGGCUCAACCGUAAAAUUGCAAUUGAUACUGGCAGUCUUGAGUACAGUUGAGGUAGGCGGAAUGCGUGGUGUAGCGGUGAAAUGCUUAGAUAUCACGAUGAACCCCGAUUGCGAAGGCAGCUUACUAAACUGUGACUGACAUUGAUGCUCGAAAGUGUGGGUAUCGAACAGGAUUAGAUACCCUGGUAGUC